GGAAGGAUCAUUCAAAAUUCCUAAAAAAAUUUGACCCCAGGUGUUGUCCCCUGUGCCUCUCGAGGAGAGCUGCUCGUCCGCCCGUCCGCCGCUCUUCGUUGAGUGGAGGGGGGGCGCUCGCUCGCUUCCUCGGAAAACGGGGGACGCUUUUUUUCUCGGAAAAAGCCAACUUGACUGAACAAAUGUGUAUAAAUCUAUGAAAUCUGAAACAACUUUUAGCAGUGGAUACCUCGGCUACCACAACGAUGAAGAACGCAGCGAAACGCGAUAUUGAUUGCGAAUUGCAGAACUCAGUGAAUCAUCGUAACUUUGAACGCACUUACGGCUGUGGGUGUCCAACCCAUGGCCACUCCUCUUUGAGUAUCGUAACCAAAACCCCAAAACCCAAAUGCUGAGAGUCGCUUUUCUGUGUGUCUCUUGAAGUCGGUGCGAGCCAGUUGUUCGGGUUCCCACGGUUUUUGGGCGCGUGCUGUGAUUCCAAAAAUUACGGUGUUUAUGAACUAAAACCUCACGAGCACAUUUUUUGGGUCGUUGGUGCGCCUCCUCCACCGUUGGGAUUCCUUGAAGUGAGAGCUGGUGACAGCACUCCCUGGCUUUUUGAAGAUUCGCUUGUGCCCCCCUGUAUUAUUGGGUGCAGGGCGAUAUGAAUUUCGGUGCAAGAUCUCAAAUGAGGUGAGACAACCCCCUGAGUUUAAGCAUAUUCGUAAGGGGAGGAAAAGAAACUAAACAGGAUUCCCUUAGUAACGGCGAGUGAAGCGGGAAGAGCUCAACCUGAGAAUCUCAGUUGGUUUCCUUCUGAGAGUUGUGGGUUUUUGAGGCGUGUUCAGUGUGUGGCCCCGGUCUAAAUCUGUUGGAACACAGUGCUCAGAGAGGGUGAGAGCCCCGUCUGUGACUGGGAGUCCGCUGCGUACGAACCGUCCUCCGAGAGUCGGGUUGCUUGGGAAUGCAGCCUUAAAUGGGUGGUAAAUUCCAUCUAAAGCUAAAUACCUGUGGUAGACCGAUAGCGCACAAGUACCGUAAGGGAAAGGUGAAAAGGACUUUGAAAAGAGAGUCAAAAGUACUUGAAACUGCUAAGAGUCAAGGGAUAAGAACCGUUGGAUCGAGUUGCCUUAAGCCUGUGCUGCAGGAAUCUUGUCGGUGCGCGUAGGCGAGUUCUCUCGGGGGCUCGGCCGCCGGCAAGAACGAUGGCGGUGGAGGUGUAUGGGGGCGCGAGCAUAUAUGUCAGGGUCGAUUCGCCGCUGUGAGACGAUGGGCCUUGGGGGAGGUAGAGUCGUGAUCGAGCUUUGGCUCGUGAUCCUUGAAUACCCCAGGGACUCCAGCUCUCGGCGUGGAUCGAGGUCUUGGGCUGGAUCCUGACCAUAUACGGUUCUUAUUCACCCGUCUUGAAACACGGACCAAGGAGUCUAACGUACGCGCAAGUCUUAGGGUGUGAAAACCCGAGGGCGCAAUGAAAGUGAAAGAGUGGCGCUAGCCACUCUUGAGAUGUGAAUCCCCCGCUUUGGGUAGGCAACAUCGCCCGGCUGCGCCAUUUGUGCGUGGUUCGAGGCCGAGCGUGUACGAUAGGACCCGAAAGAUGGUGAACUAUGCCUGGGCAGGGUGAAGCCAGGGGAAACUCUGGUGGAAGCUCGCAGCGAUACUGACGUGCAAAUCGUUCGUCAGACCUGGGUAUAGGGGCGAAAGACUAAUCGAACCAUCUAGUAGCUGGUUCCCUC
rnacentral:misc_RNA from 1 species